rnacentral:rRNA from 1 species
GUGAGGAAUAUUGGUCAAUGGGCGGGAGCCUGAACCAGCCAAGUCGCGUGAAGGAAGAAGGAUCUAUGGUUCGUAAACUUCUUUUGCAGGGGAAUAAAGUGCAGGACGUGUCCUGUUUUGUAUGUACCCUGAGAAUAAGGAUCGGCUAACUCCGUGCCAGCAGCCGCGGUAAUACGGAGGGUGCGAGCGUUAUCCGGAUUUAUUGGGUUUAAAGGGUGCGUAGGUGGUUUGAUAAGUCAGCGGUGAAAGUUUGCAGCUUAACUGUAAAAAUGCCGUUGAAACUGUCGGACUUGAGUGUAAAUGAGGUAGGCGGAAUGCGUGGUGUAGCGGUGAAAUGCAUAGAUAUCACGCAGAACUCCGAUUGCGAAGGCAGCUUACUAAGCUACAACUGACACUGAAGCACGAAAGCGUGGGGAUCAAACAGGAUUAGAAACCCCAGUAGUCC